rnacentral:misc_RNA from 1 species
GAUGAAGAACGUAGCGAAAUGCGAUACGUAAUGUGAAUUGCAGAAUUCAGUGAAUCAUCGAAUCUUUGAACGCACAUUGCGCCCCCUGGUAUUCCGGGGGGCAUGCCUGUUCGAGCGUCAUUUCACCACUCAAGCCUCGCUUGGUAUUGGGCAACGCGGUCCGCCGCGUGCCUCAAAUCGUCCGGCUGGGUCUUCUGUCCCCUAAGCGUUGUGGAAACUAUUCGCUAAAGGGUGUUCGGGAGGCUACGCCGUAAAACAACCCCAUUUCUAAGGUUGACCUCGGAUCAGGUAGGGAUACCCGCUGAACUUAAGCAUAUCAAUAAGCGGAGGA